UACGGAGGGGGCGAGGGUUGUUCGGAAUUACUGGGCGUAAAGGGCGCGCAGGCGGCCUGGCAAGUCGAGUGUGAAAUCCCUCGGCUUAACCGAGGAACUGCCUCCCAAACUGCUUGGCUUGAGACCGGGAGAGGUGAGUGGAAUUCCCAGUGUAGCGGUGAAAUGCGUAGAUAUUGGGAGGAACACCAGUGGCGAAGGCGGCUCACUGGACCGGUACUGACGCUGAUGCGCGAAAGCGUGGGGAGCAAACGGG
rnacentral:rRNA from 1 species